UCUUGGGUGGACUAGUGGUUAAGGACCUGGUGUUGUCACUGCUGUGACUCAGGUUCGAUUCCUGGCCCAGGAA
rnacentral:tRNA from 1 species